AACGAACGCUGGCGGCAGGCUUAACACAUGCAAGUCGAACGGUUGUAGCAAUACAGCAGUGGCAGACGGGUGAGUAACACGUGGGAACCUUCCUAGGGGUACGGAACAACUCAGGGAAACUUGAGCUAAUACCGUAUACGUCCGUGAGGAGAAAGAUUUAUCGCCCUUAGACGGGCCCGCGUCGGAUUAGCUGGUUGGUGGGGUAACGGCCUACCAAGGCGACGAUCCAUAGCUGAUCUUAGAGGAUGAUCAGCCACACUGGGACUGAGACACGGCCCAGACUCCUACGGGAGGCAGCAGUGGGGAAUCUUGGACAAUGGGCGCAAGCCUGAUCCAGCCAUGCCGCGUGAGUGAAGAAGGUCUUCGGAUUGUAAAGCUCUUUUGCCAGGGACGAUAAUGACGGUACCUGGAGAAUAAGCCCCGGCAAACUUCGUGCCAGCCGCCGCAGUAA
rnacentral:rRNA from 1 species